CGGCGGACGGGUGAGUAACACGUGGAUAACCUACCUAUAAGACUGGGAUAACUUCGGGAAACCGGAGCUAAUACCGGAUAAAUAUAUUGAACCGCAUGGUUCAAUAGUGAAAGACGGUUUUGCUGUCACUUAUAGAUGGAUCCGCGCCGCAUUAGCUAGUUGGUAAGGUAACGGCUUACCAAGGCAACGAUGCGUAGCCGACCUGAGAGGGUGAUCGGCCACACUGUAACUGAGACACGGUCCAG
rnacentral:rRNA from 1 species